GGGCGGAUGUAGCCAA
rnacentral:tRNA from 8 species